UGUGGCGGCGACCACCCCGCGAAGUCGUAGCACAGUCCAUGACCAACGAAUUAGGAACCAGAUGAUGCAAGAGGGGCAUCUGAUGAAGACGAUCUGGGCCGCGGAGUUGGUGGGCAAAGCGCGUCAUCGUAUAACGCUGCCUGAAGACGGAACACUCAAUUCUGCUGUGUCUGCUUUGAAAAAGAACAGCAAACCUUACAAGCAGAAGUAUUAUGCUCCUCCCCAAGGCACAUUAAGCAAGCGUCAUGGAGGUCUGGGGAAGGGAGCUCAGCUCGACACUUAACACAGCGCUUGAAUGUCUUUUUCGCCUCCAUAGCACCAAUCAGUUUUAUUCUUUAAGUCCAGUCAGCAAGCAAAGCCAGUCCAUUUUCCAAUCCACAGUCGAGUCACAGAACAACAAGAAAGUCCCGAACAAUGCCAGAACGUUAUUCAUAUCCAAUCUGUAAAUGAAAUCCAAGGUCAAAACCAGAGAAUGAACUUUAUACUGAGCAGCUAUCACAACGAGGUUUGAACGCUUAGGCGGUCAAAGAGCAACUGAGGGAGAGACGCCCCAACUGCCACUUUUAACGAUCUCAGCACAGCACGUGCAGGCGGGGCGUCAUGAGGAGCUAUUCAAUCAGCUAUUCAAUCAAGCAAUCAAGCUAUUCAAUCAGCCCGCGAGGUCCCUGCGCAGGCGCAGAACCCAUUUCCUUCUUAUUACAAUGGAUCACGAUCCAGAUCCCACUAUUACAGCACUGAAUGAAUUAUAAAGUGUUUUUUAAAAGAAGAAACCAAACUUUGAUCCCUUUCGAUUAUCCACUUACUACAAAACUAUGAGGAUCAGGACCUAAAGGAACAAUAGGAGGAACACUUCCCACUAGCUCAGCUCAUGCAGUUUCUAUGAAAAAUUAAGUGGCCAGUUGCAGAAGAGACAAAUGGAAAGCAAUAAUAACUUGGUUAUUGAUCUAUGAAUGUUAUAUAUAAAAGUGAUACAAUGAGAAUUGUAAUUUAGCUGAACGGCAAUUGACACAACAGCAUACAUAAAAUAUCCUUAUUUGGAGGAUUCCUUUGUCAAUAUGGCACACACGGCACACUUGAUUUAAACUACACAGUUCAGUGAUAUACUGAAAAGUUCCUUACCUUUUAUAUCUGUUUGAAAUAGUCCUAGAGGUAUCCUAUUAAAAACAAAACAAACCACAAGUUAGUGUCUGAUUUAAUAUACAUAACAGCUAAUUAAAGAAUUACUUUACAGAGAGAAAGGUAAACUAAAACUGACACAAAGCUAUAUAUGUACCCUGGAAUUCAGAUUCUCUCAUGAAUAUAAGUCCAGUUAAAUUAUUUUUAAAAAACACAUUUUAUUAUUAAGAUUGCAAAUAUAUCAUUACCACUUUCCUUGGGGAAAGGAAAAGUUAAAAACUGCUUACUUGCCAGUUUCUUUUGCGGGUUGGCUGGUAGGUAGCACCCACCAAGCCUUACCACAAAACCCACUUUGAUGCCCCUUAGAACUAUUCAUAGGAAACAAUGGAGUGUUUUAAGUUUCCCCCAUUGUUCCUUAUGGUCGGAACAAGCUGUACUCACAGAGUGCACACAGGUUUUGCAUUGCAUAUUUGCAAUGCAUGCACCCCUUCCUUGAAAAAACACUACAGAAACACAGUAAAAGGGAAUCUGUCCCUCCCAACACAGACCACACAUUUCAAACACAGUCCAAAAAUGCCCCAAGAAGAAUCACUGACCCAGAAUCCACUGCCAGCCACAUUGCCUGCUCUGCAGUAACAUCAAUAGCACAAGUUGCUCUCUCACCCACAAUUAUGACUCAUUACUUCCUAGCACUGCAACUGCUGCCACAGCAGCACCCUUACUUGGAAGGAAGUAUAGACAUAGCUCAACUAGAGCAACUUCAGCAGACUGUGACCGAAUACACUUUGUAAUGCACAAUGCCGAGCAGUGAGUAAAGCGCAAGUUAGUCUCAAGACCAGACAUGGAGCUCAUCACAAAAAUCACCAAGAAAUAUUACACACACAUAAACAGCUGUCACUGUCAAUUUCUUGCCACAACACUAUCUCACAAACAAACUAAACCUCCACUCAAGGCAGGCAUCCAGGUUCUGACUUUGUCAAUCUGAGAUCCAGCAAAACCAAAUAGUUAUAGCAGCAAUAGUACAACAUAUUAUACUCAGUACUGAAAAAGACAACCACAAACUCAAACCUUCCUUAAUUCUUUCCACCUCUCCUCCAGAUAUAUCCUCUUCAAGAGAGGCACACUAUAAAAGUACUCCUCUCUCUCUGCUUCCAUCGCUUUGAAUACAUUUUGAAAUUCUCUCCUUUUGUGCCCCCUCCAGCCAAUGGAGGCACAGUUGUCCAUGACAAGACUUGAUUUGUGUGAUAAGAAGCCAACCAAGAAGUAAGGAGAUUGUAAGCCAAUCGGAAACCAGUGCCAAAAAACAAAUCAGCAGGGAGUGGGGGAUGGGAAAGGCUUCCAAAAUGGCGCUUGGAAUGUUGAUCAAAACAACGUCGUUCUGCUCCAAGCUUGAAACAGGCCGUUUAUUUAAAGCAUGUUCUGUUUCAAGCUUAAAACACCCCAUUUUGAGUCAAAACGUUUUGCUUUCAAAACAUUCUGCACAUCCCUAGAAAAGAAGGAGCAGACAGUCUGGCUGGUGGAGACUAAGCAUGCAAUCUGCUAAAUUAGACCACAAGCAUAUGCUAAUUCAGGCUAAUUAGUUCCUUUAUUAUCUUUAGUUUCAUGUGUGGUGUUGGAACUUCUCCCCCUACCCUAUUCCUUUUCAAACCGAGGCCCUUACCUCUUUUGUAAAAAUAAAGUUCCUUUUAAUUUUCUAA